GACGAACGCUGGCGGCGUGCCUAAUACAUGCAAGUUGAGCGCUGAAGGUUGGUACUUGUACCAACUGGAUGAGCAGCGAACGGGUGAGUAACGCGUGGGGAAUCUGCCUUUGAGCGGGGGACAACAUUUGGAAACGAAUGCUAAUACCGCAUAAAAACUUUAAACACAAGUUUUAAGUUUGAAAGAUGCAAUUGCAUCACUCAAAGAUGAUCCCGCGUUGUAUUAGCUAGUUGGUGAGGUAAGGGCUCACCAAGGCGAUGAUACAUAGCCGACCUGAGAGGGUGAUCGGCCACAUUGGGACUGAGACACGGCCCAAACUCCUACGGGAGGCAGCAGUAGGGAAUCUUCGGCAGUGGACGAAAGUCUGACCGAGCAACGCCGCGUGAGUGAAGAAGGUUUUCGGAUCGUAAAACUCUGUUGGUAGAGAAGAACGUUGGUGAGAGUGGAAAGCUCAUCAAGUGACGGUAACUACCCAGAAAGGGACGGCUAACUACGUG
rnacentral:rRNA from 1 species